rnacentral:rRNA from 1 species
UACGAAGGGGGCUAGCGUUGCUCGGAAUUACUGGGCGUAAAGGGCGCGUAGGCGGCACUGUUAGUCAGGCGUGAAAGUCCUGGGCUCAACCUGGGAACUGCGCUUGAUACGGCAGAGCUAGAGGAUGGAAGAGGGUCGCGGAAUUCCCAGUGUAGAGGUGAAAUUCGUAGAUAUUGGGAAGAACACCGGUGGCGAAGGCGGCGACCUGGUCCAUUACUGACGCUGAGGCGCGAAAGCAUGGGGAGCAAACGGG